AAAUCCCCUUUGUUUUAUUGUAUAUAGUAAAACUCUUUUAUUAUAUGUAAUAAAACUACUGAGAGCUGCUUUUCAGGAUGUGCAAAAGACCCUCAAGUUCCAACUAGUCUUAGAGAAACUGCUUGACGUGGUGCCAAUUUAGCUGGUCACUAAUUGGCCCAGUUUGUUCUCUCUGUUUGCAUAGGCUAACUUAACAGUAGCAUUUCUUUGAAUAAAUUUUAAGCCUCACCAUGGAAUAAAGAAUGAAAACAAGGCUUCUGUCAAUGUAGGAGUAAAUUUUAUCAGUUGAUGAAACUAUUUACUGUUAGAAAAUUGGUAUAUAGGAAAACAAUGUGUUAUGUUGGAGUCUGAGUUGCCAGGUCAACAGAAAACAAAACAAAACAAAAAAAAAACCAACCUCCACUCCAAACGUUUAACUAAAGAGAGAGGUAUGAGCCAGGGUCAAGACAUCUAGAAAGGGUGAGGAGAGGCUCUACCAGCAGGAAGCUCUUCCCACCCCAGUGUCUGAAGGGCAGCUGACAAGAGAAUCUCACUGGAUUUAUGGAGGAGAGACUACCUAAGGGGAGCAGUAAAAAUGAGAGUGCAGCUCUGCCCAGAUGGCCAUGUGAAGUUGGAGUGGGCCAGGAUUCCCCCAGUUGGACUCUCACAUACCUGUGGACCUCAAGUGCUCCUUCAUAUGUGUUUUCAAUGAACUUCAUCCAAACCACAUCAAAUGGCUGUGUAUAACACUAAGGAAAUGUCAUAUUGUCUCCUAGUCCUCUACCAUGUCUUUUACACACACUGAAGAUCAUGUGAAGAAAGAGAGAAGAUGGUCAUCUAUACACCAAGUUAAACGACCCUCAGAAGAAACCAACCCUAUGGACAACUUGAUCUUGAACUUCUAGCUUUCAGACCUGUGAGAAAAUAAAUUGCUGUUGUUUAAAUUUAAAAAAACAGUCUUUUAAAUCAUGUAUGAAACAAAGUGUUGUUACAAACCAUUGUUAUAAUAGUACUAGCUUUUGUAAUUGCCUAUUUGUCCAUCUUUACUGAGAUCUUUAUUUCUUCAUAUGGCUUUGAGUUACUGAGUAGUGUCCUUUUAUUUCAACCUGAAGAACUCCCUUGAGUGUUUCUCUUAGGGUAUGUCUAGAAGUAACAGAUUACCUUAGCUUUCGUUAAUCUGGGAAUGUUGUAAUUCUCCUUCACUUUUGAAGGACAAUUUUUACCAAAUAUAGAAUUUGGGGUUGAUAUUUUUAUUUAUUUUAGCACUUUGAAUAUAUCAGCCCACUGCCUUUUGGUCUCCAGUAUUUAUGAUGAGACUCUCUUUUUUUAAUCUCAUAAUUUACUAUUUAUUAUUUUUAAAUGUUUCUAGAGAUAUACAGUAAUUAAACAUAUUUGUGGGAUACACAUGAUAUUUUGAUACAAGAAUAUACAAUGUGUAAGCUGUAUAUUCAAUAUACAAUCAGUGAUCAAAUCAGGAUAUUUAUUAGGAUAUACAUCAACUUGAACAUUUAUCAUUUCUUUGUGUUGGGAGUAUUUUAAAUCUUCUUUACUAGCUUUCAUGAAAUAUAAAAUAUUGUUAACUAGUCAUUCCACUGUGUUAUCAAACACUAGAACUUAUUCCCCCAUCUGCACUAUAUCUUUGAACCUAUAAUCUUAUUGAUGAUCUUUUUAUGUGAUGAAUCACUUUUCUAUUGCAACUUUCAAGACUCUGUGUUUGGCUUUUGACAGUUUGAUUAUAUUGUGUCUCAGUGUGGAUCUUUUUGAGUUCAUCCUACUUGGAGUUACUGAGUUUCUUGAAUAUUUUUACUUAUGUCUUUUAUCAAAUUUGUAAAGACUUUGGCCAUCAAUUCUCUUAAUAAUCUAUCUUUCCUGUUUUCUCUUCUGUUUCUUAGCCUACCACCACACGUGUUGUUCUGCUCAACAGUGUUCCAGAAGUCCCUUAAGCUCUGUUCACUUUUCUUCAAUCAUUUUACUUUCUGUUCCUCAGAUUCAAUGAUUUCCUUUGUCCUAUUUCAAAUUUGUUGAUUCUUCUUCGUUCUCAAAUCAGCCUUUGAAUCUCUCUAGUGAAUUUUUUAUUUCAGUUAUAACACUUUUUAGCAUCAAAUUUAUUGUUUCUUCAUAGGUUUUCUAUAUGUUUGCAAAUAUUUCUAUUUUGUCCUUAUGUCAUUUUCUUGGCUUUUUCUGCAUCUUUUGUUAGCUCUUUCAGUAUCUUUAAGAUAAUUGUUUUUGUUUAGUAGAUCUGACAUCAGGUCUUUUUCAGGAGCUGCUUCUUUUUUUCCCAUUAAAAUGGGCCACACAUUCCUUUUCUUUUGUAUGUCUCUUGAUUUUUUUUGUUAAAAAUGGACAUUUGAAGCUAAUGAUUUGAUAACACUGGAAAUUAGGUUCUCUCCCUUCCCUGGGGUUUACUGGGCUUUUGUUUUUGGUUUUGUUUUUUUGUUGUUGUUGUUGCUUACUGUUUUUGUUUUUUUAAUUGUUGUAGGCUGUCUCAGUGCUGAGGGUUAGCCUGAGCUUAAGGUUAGGCUAACCUGACCUUAAGGUAAACUUAAGGUCUUCUCAGGUCUUUCUGAGCCUGUGCCUUUCCCUGGGCAUACAUAGUCACCUUCCAAUAUCCCCCAUAUAUGCAGUCACUUCGGAAUGUCCCAGUCUCUAAUGGAUGGCUCCCAAAAGGGGAAAAGAUAAAAAUUAAGGAGAAGAAAAAGAAUGCUGGGUUUUUAAGUACCCUGGAAGUCACCUCAGCGAGAGAGGGGCUAGCAAUAAUGAGGGUGGGGCAAUAGCAAUGGCCACCUGCCUCUUUGUCUGUACUUCUGUGAUGAGAAGCAGCAAUUAAUAAUCACAGCACAAAUACUUGGAGGACUGGGUCCUUAUUGCCCACCCUGGCUCCCACAAGCUGUAUGCAGUCUUCUUCAGGUCAUGGGCACAGCUGCCUGCCACAGGGCUGGGGCGGUCAAUAGGUAGUUACUACUGUGCUGAGUCUAAGUUGACCAAAACUAACUGAAAUUUACUUCUAAGACAUUCCCUGGAAGUUGCAAGCCUUCAAUAGACUCCAGAAUUCCAAAAUAGUUACAUCAGGCAGAUUCUGCCAGUGCAGUUGUUGUCUGGAUGGGUAAACAGAUUCCUGGAGCUUCCUAUUUCAGCAUCUUGCCAGAAUCUUCUCCCUAUGUGUAUUUAUUUUAUCACAUCUUGAGAUAGUUUUUGUUUCAGAACUUUGCUAUCCACUAUGCUGAGUAGAACUUCAAGAGCUGUCCCUGUGUCUAAUAGACUAGAAGUGGUAGAUUUCAGCCUGGGAGUACACACUGCGGUCACAACCAUCCAUAUGGCAGGAAGUAGUCUACUGAGUUUUUGGCGGCCAUGAUUCUUUGGCAUUUCUGGUUUGGUGGUCGUUGAUUCCUAAAUAUUAAAGUGGUUCCCAGCAUGUAUCAGUUGUUUGUUUGCUAAAUGACCUUAAAUGUUCUGAUACUUGCAGAAAUGAAAAAAGCUAGUUUCUCUGUCAAUAAGACUCUGAUCUGAAUGUGAAUAAAUAUGCAUGAGCAGUAACUUAAUGCACAUCUGGAAAAUAUGCUUUGUUAGAAAUCUAUCACUAUUUUUUUUAAUUUGGAGAGUUUUUCUCAAGAACAAUAGAAUGUAAUAAAAUUUAAGGAAGUGCAUUUUACAAAAAGUAUCAAAGACUUUAUUAAACAUCAACUCUUUACUUGAAGAAAUAAUGUUGUUUAAAAAAAUCAAUCUUGUGAAUUGUCUCCUGGGAAGUUUGUCAGUGAUUUCUUUCUUUCUUGUUCUUUUUUGUCCUUAUAUAAAGUAACCAAGCUUUAUUCCUAUAAGCUGUAAAUUUUAACAGAAAGCAGAUUCACAUGUAUUUAUUAACAUUCCUAAAUUCUCAACACCACUUAUUAAUCCCUUAAAAACGAUUGCUUCUUUAUAUGAAGAUAAUGGUAGUCAUAAAGACAUACAUUAUAGUUUCAUUAUGAUGUUUGUGCUUUGUCUCAAGUUUCUUCUGAAAUGCCUCCACUGAGUUAGGUGAUAAUGACAGCACUCAGACACACAGCCCAGAGGAAGGGGACAAAGGAAUCCCAGGAAAGAAGUAGGAAAAGGUAUUUGGUUAGAAUUUAAAGUCAAGUGGAGGAAUCAGUGAACCAGAAAACAGACAGGGGAGGCUGCUUGUUCAUCUGGAGCUUACAGCAGCAGCAGGAGUUGGAAUUCACAAAGCAAAUGGCUGAGAUGGGGGUGCCGGAGCACAGGAGUGACAGACCAGGGUAGGAUGCAGCAGCCUCUACUCUGGGAAGAGGGUCCCAGCCACUACUGGGCACCAUCUCCUUUUGAGGGGUGGACCCACGCAGCAUUUAAGGAGGAAGCCCAGUAGAUCUGGUUAAUUAACGUGGUAAUGGGACUCCCUAGAAUUUAAGUCCAAAGCAUGGUGUGAUUUUCUUUGUUGAGCUACCACAUAUUGAAGUUCAGGAAAGAAACCACCCAGUUGAUAUAGCAAUAGUAUACAAAACCUGC
rnacentral:lncRNA from 1 species